rnacentral:rRNA from 1 species
AUUGAACGCUAGCGGCAUGCCUAACACAUGCAAGUCGAGCGAGCGGCGGACGGGUGAGUAAUGUAUGGGGACUGCCCGCUAGAGGGGGAUACCUACUGGAAACGGUAGCUAAUCCCGCAUCCUAUCCGAUAACCCAUAUGGGAUUAGCUAGUAGGUUAGGUAAUGGCUCACCUAGGCGACGAUCCCUAGCUGGUCUGAGAGGAGGAUCAGCCACACUGGGACUGAGACACGGCCCAGACUCCUACGGAGGCAGCAGUGGGGAAUUUUGCACAAUGGGCGCAAGCCUGAUGCAGCCAUGCCGCGUGUAUGAAGAAGGCCCUAGGGUUGUAAAGUACUUUAAGUAGGGAGGCGUUACCGACAGAAGAAGCACCGGCUAACUACGUGCCAGCAGCCGCGGUAAUAC